rnacentral:tRNA from 1 species
GGUCGAUGUGGCGCGCCUGGCGGGCGUGGCCGGGCUGACGCUGGCCGGCUUCCUGACCGCGGGGGGCGAGGCGCCGAUCCUGCUCGCCGACCCGCCC